rnacentral:rRNA from 1 species
GACGAACGCUGGCGGCGUGCUUAACACAUGCAAGUCGAACGGCAACGCCCUGCUUUUGUGCGCUGCUCGAGUGGCGAUCGGGUGCGUAACACGUGUGUAUCCUGCCCUUCUCUUUGGUAUAACUUCAGGAAACUGGGGCUAAUCCCGUAUCGGAGCUCCUGCUCCAUGGUGGGCGUUGGAUCGUUUCGGCGGUUGGGGAUGGACUCGCGGGUUAUCGGCUUGUUGGUGGGGUAGUUGCUUACCCAGGCUUUGACGGGUAGCCGGCAUGUGAGGGUGACCGGGGACAAGGGGCCUGAGAGACGGAGCAGAGGGCUACGGGAGGCAGCAGGGGGGAAUAUGGCACAAGGGGCGGAAGCCGGAGGCAGCAACGUCGCGUGCGUGAUGACGGCCUGCGGGGAGAGAACCGCUGUAGCCUGUGACGAAGCGGGAGUGACGGUAAUGAGAAAAGAAGCACCGGCUAACUACGUG